rnacentral:lncRNA from 1 species
UUCUUGAUAAUCAAGAUGUUGUUAUGAAAAAUUUUGCCGAUAUCCUGCAUGUUUGACCUAAUUCCUAAAACUGGUAUCGAAGUGUUUGCAAAAUUGAGAUAACCAAUAAUAUUGAGCGAUGGCUCAUUUAUUUUCCUACUUUAUAUAGUCUUUGGUGGACUAUUUUGUAUAAUCAUAACCCUCAUAUAACUGGCAUAAUAAGUAAAAUUCUUACCUUGAAGCGACAACAAGAUGGUGGUCCAAUUUCAAUCGCCGACACCCUGCAUGAUGACGUAGAUUCCCCCC